rnacentral:rRNA from 1 species
UAGGGAAUCUUCGGCAAUGGACGAAAGUCUGACCGAGCAACGCCGCGUGAGUGAAGAAGGUUUUCGGAUCGUAAAACUCUGUUGGUAGAGAAGAACGUUGGUGAGAGUGGAAAGCUCAUCAAGUGACGGUAACUACCCAGAAAGGGACGGCUAACUACGCNCCAG